CACGUAGGCGGCUUUUCAAGUCGGAUGUGAAAUCCCUCGGCUUAACCAAGGAAGUGCAUCCGAAACUGGAGAGCUUGAGUAGUUAAGAGGAUCGCGGAAUUCCCGGUGUAGAGGUGAAAUUCGUAGAUAUCGGGAGGAACACCAGUGGCGAAGGCGGCGAUCUGGGAACAUACUGACGCUGAGGUGCGAAAGCGUGGGGAAGCAAACA
rnacentral:rRNA from 1 species